rnacentral:rRNA from 1 species
GACGAACGCUGGCGGCGUGCUUAACACAUGCAAGUCGAACGGAAAGGCCCUUCUUUUGUGGUGUGCUCGAGUGGCGAACGGGUGAGUAACACGUGAGUAACCUGCCCUUGACUUUGGUAUAACCUCGGGAAACUGGGUCUAAUACCGGAUAGGAGCUCCCGCUGCAUGGUGGGGUUUGGAAAGUUUUGGCGGUUGGGGAUGGUCUCGCGGCCUAAACGCUUGUUGGUGGGGUAGUGGUUUACCAAGGCUUUCACGGGUAGCCGGCCUGAGGGGGUGACCGGCAACAUGGGGACGGGGAAACGGCCCGGACUCCUACGGGAGGAAGAAGGGGGGAAUAUGGCACAAUGGGCGGAAGCCUGAGGAAGCAACGCCGCGUGCGGGAUGACGGCCUUCGGGUGGUAACCCGCUUUCGCCUGUGACGAAGCGUGAGUGACGGUAAUGGGUAAAGAAGCACCGGCUAACUACGUG